UCCCAGUUUCCGUUAUUGACAUUGGCACCAUUGCUAGACGGUGUCCCACGAUGCCAUACCGGUGUCGGCGAUCGUCGGUCCAAGGAUACCACGAUCACCGUGUCCGCGUACGGAGAGCGGGAUUAGCGUCAAGGAAAACAAGGAAUAACGAGACUACGAGGACAAAGCCGGAGAAUGCAAUAUAUAAUGUGAACAUUGCUGUCACGAACGCUCUUGUAUCUUUGAUACUCCUUUUUCGGUGAACCCCUACAUGUACGGAUCUCAAUUGCCUCCAGAAGCAUGCUUCCGCGCGGAUGACGUUUCCUCUCCGCAUGGAGCGUUCCGAGUGUUCUGAAGAACAAUUUUUGCCGGGUCACCGCUGGUCAGAGUUCAAGGCCAUCGAACGUAAGCGCUAGAUUUUAGAAGAAAGACGAUACCACGUAAGAAAUAACAACGAAACGAAAUGGUGUUCUUUUUUCUCUCCAGUCUGUCGCAUGUUACGCAAUCGAAAUGCAAAAUUCAAGCAAGCGGUUUUGAGCGGUGCAACAUCGGCCAAUAACGCCUGUUGCGGCCUCACUGUUGGGUGUAAACAGAGCGCAUCGACGCGGUAUUGAGUCACGGGAUAACGAUCGCCGGCGUACGUUAACGAUAAUUAUUGGAACGACACGCUCGCGCCGUUUUGCUGAUGAAAGACGCGUUACUUAAUCCGUCUCGAGGAAGAUUCGCGGCUCGGUUCCCCGCAUAUCCAGACCGCGCCGAUCUCUUUCCUUUUCCAGAGGCUGGGCGCAUCCUUUUCUGGGGGACGGCCGAAGAUAUUAAGGCACAAUAUUUUGAUUGUCGCGGGUGAAUCACGCGACACGCGCGCGACAUACAAUAUAAGGCUCUUCACGCUUGGAACAUCGAAUUUGCAUAUUAACGACCUCGGCCGCCAAGAAUAGGAUCUGUGACUUUAUUCGGGGACUGCGUUUCUCUCGUUCGAAUCCCGUAAACUUUUUCAUCCAGACCUUUCAUCAGCUGGUACUCGAAGCGAUAGCUGCUUGGAUUCAAAAGCAAUGUGACUGAGAAAUGCAAAUAUUUGCACACGAUUGCCAAGACCGAUGGGAAAGGAAAUAUCGUUCUCUAUAUAAGGCUAAGCUAUCAGAGGUAAGGUCCGUUUGUUACGGCGAUGACGGCGUACGAUCAGGGACAAGACCUGUUAGGUACAUCGUCGCGAGAGUCGAGGACAUCGGCGAUUUGGCGAAAUCGGUCAGCAGGUCAUAGCCCACUCUCAGAAUUUU